CCGUUUCCCUCACUCCUCGCAAGAAUUGAAUAAUCCACGAAUCCGACUAUCUCAAUUUUAGAACACACCCACACCGAGUUUACCUCCGAGAACACACAACACACAACAGGCAGUCUACCAUCAACCCCAACACAAAAUAGUCUAUUCGUUAAAAAAUCUCCUCUGAAUCGGAAAAACAUCACCAUUGCUUCUCAAUUUCAUUUUUCAACAACGUGAAUUUUAGUGGAUCGUGUUGCUCCGCUCGAAGUGUUCUACAAGAUCAAUUUUUAUAUCAAUUCUACGAAAUGGUCUAUGAACGUGUCAGCAUAAACGA